CUCUAAUGUAAUGAGAGAGAUUAUUCAGUUGAAUUUUGGUCAAACUGGCUGUCGUGUUGCAGAGCAAUACUGGCAAGCCAUGC
rnacentral:ribozyme from 1 species